GGGGCUAUAGCUCAGCUGGGAGAGCGCCUGCUUUGCAUGCAAGAGGUCAGCGGUUCGAUCCCGCUUAGCUCCACCA
rnacentral:tRNA from 3 species